rnacentral:tRNA from 1 species
GUAGCCAAGUGGGAAGGCGAGGGUCUGCAAAACCCUUUCUCGCGGGUUCGAUUCCCGCUCGGGCCUCCA